rnacentral:ncRNA from 1 species
ACAAUAGAGGAGCAAUGGACAAGAGUAUAUCUGUGGAGAAAAGUCAUUUCCAUGAAGCAGAUAGAAAGGGAAAAUUGCCGAAACCAGAGAACAUGACAAAUUCUUCGAGUUGGUACAUAACAGAACAUGCUAUGUACUCUCACUGAUAUCACAGUGGAGGAGCUAUUGA